GACUAGAUGCAGUGGCCUAAUGGUUAAGUGCAUUGGCCUCUGGAUCAAGUGGUCGCGGGUUCAAGGCCCUGGCCGUGGUCA